rnacentral:rRNA from 1 species
GAUGAACGCUAGCGGCAGGCUUAAUACAUGCAAGUCGAGGGGUAGCAAGAUUGUAGCAAUACAAUUGUUGACGACCGGCAAACGGGUGCGGAACACGUACACAACCUUCCUACAAGUGGGGAAUAGCCCAGAGAAAUUUGGAUUAAUACCCCGUAACAUAGCGAUGUGGCAUCACAUUGCUAUUAUAGCUUCGGCGCUUGUUGAUGGGUGUGCGGCUGGUUAGAUAGUUGGCGGGGUAACGGCCCACCAAGUCUACGAUCAGUAGCUGAUGUGAGAGCAUGAUCAGCCACACGGGCACUGAGACACGGGCCCGACUCCUACGGGAGGCAGCAGUAAGGAAUAUUGGACAAUGGACGCAAGUCUGAUCCAGCCAUGCCGCGUGAAGGAUUAAGGUCCUCUGGAUUGUAAACUUCUUUUAUAAGGGACGAAAAAAGGUCUUUCUAGAUCGUCUGACGGUACCUUAUGAACAAGCACCGGCUAACUCCGUGCCAGCCGCCGCCGUAAAAC